ACGAACACUGAAGUUAAUCAAUGUCGAGCCUAGUCAGUACUUAGAUGGUUGAUCGCUUGGGAAUACCAGGUGCUGCAAGC